rnacentral:tRNA from 2 species
GGAGAGGUGCGAGAGCGGCCGAAUCGGCACGACUGGAAAUCGUGUAGGGGGCAACCCCUCGUGGGUUCAAAUCCCAUCCUCUCCGCCA